UACGUAGGGUGCAAGCGUUGUCCGGAAUUAUUGGGCGUAAAGAGCUCGUAGGCGGUUUGUCGCGUCUGCUGUGAAAACGCGAGGCUCAACCUCGCGCCUGCAGUGGGUACGGGCAGACUAGAGUGCGGUAGGGGAGAUUGGAAUUCCUGGUGUAGCGGUGGAAUGCGCAGAUAUCAGGAGGAACGCCGAUGGCGAAGGCAGAUCUCUGGGCCGUAACUGACGCUGAGGAGCGAAAGCAUGGGGAGCGAACAGG
rnacentral:rRNA from 1 species